rnacentral:rRNA from 1 species
UACGUAGGGUGCAGGCGUUAAUCGGAAUUACUGGGCGUAAAGCGUGCGCAGGCGGUCUGUUAAGACCGAUGUGAAAUCCCCGGGCUUAACCUGGGAACUGCAUUGGUGACUUGGCAGGCUUUGAGUGUGGCAGAGGGAGGUAGAAUUCCACGUGUAGCAGUGAAAUGCGUAGAGAUGUGGAGGAAUACCGAUGGCGAAGGCAGGCCUCCUGGGCCAACACUGACGCUCAUGCACGAAAGCGUGGGGAGCAAACAGG